rnacentral:rRNA from 1 species
GAUGAACGCUGGCGGCGUGCCUAAUACAUGCAAGUCGAGCGAACGGACGAGAAGCUUGCUUCUCUGAUGUUAGCGGCGGACGGGUGAGUAACACGUGGAUAACCUACCUAUAAGACUGGGAUAACUUCGGGAAACCGGAGCUAAUACCGGAUGAUCUUUUGAACCGCAUGGUUCAAAAGUGAAAGACGGUCUUGCUGUCACUUAUAGAUGGAUCCGCGCUGCAUUAGCUAGUUGGUAAGGUAACGGCUUACCAAGGCAACGAUGCAUAGCCGACCUGAGAGGGUGAUCGGCCACACUGGAACUGAGACACGGUCCAGACGCCUACGGGAGGCAGCAGUAGGGAAUCUUCCGCAAUGGGCGAAAGCCUGACGGAGCAACGCCGCGUGAGUGAUGAAGGUCUUCGGAUCGUAAAACUCUGUUAUUAGGGAAGAACAUAUGUGUAAGUAACUGUGCACAUCUUGACGGUACCUAAUCAGAAAGCCACGGCUAACUACGUG